UGGGGGAUAUUGCACAAUGGGCGAAAGCCUGAUGCAGCGACGCCGCGUGGGGGAUGAAGGCUUUCGGGUUGUAAACCUCUUUCGCUAUCGAACAAGGCCCGCUUAGGGUGGGUUGAGAGUAGGUGGAGAAGAAGCGCCGGCUAACUACGUGCCAGCAGCCGCGGUAAUACGUAGGGCGCGAGCGUUGUCCGGAAUUAUUGGGCGUAAAGGGCUUGUAGGCGGCUUGUUGCGCCUGCUGUGAAAACGCGGGGCUUAACUUCGCGCGUGCAGUGGGUACGGGCAGGCUUGAGUGUGGUAGGGGUGACUGGAAUUCCAGGUGUAGCGGUGGAAUGCGCAGAUAUCUGGAGGAACACCGAUGGCGAAGGCAGGUCACUGGGCCAUUACUGACGCUGAGGAGCGAAAGCAUGGGUAGCGAACAGG
rnacentral:rRNA from 1 species